rnacentral:misc_RNA from 1 species
UCAACCCUCAAGCCCGGCUUGCUGUUGGGUCGCACCGUUAAACCAACGGUGGAUCCCAAAGAUAAUGGCAGAGUCUGUGAGACCCUGGAUGCAGCGAGCUUUGUAGCACGCGUCGGGCGGUUUCCAGGCUCGGUCUUAACCAAUAUAUUUCUUCU